rnacentral:lncRNA from 1 species
UGGCUUUCCGCUCCCUCGCUCUGGAGCAGCGGUCUUGAACUCAACUGUUAGCGUCAGGGUGUCAACCUCCGGCGAGGCUUUUUGCAAACUCUAAGGAUCUGUAGCCGCCAUCAUUCACUCUAUACGCAUCUAUCCAGCAGCCGUGCGCAGUGUCGCGUAAUGUCGCGUCGCGGGUUCAGAUCUCAGCGCGGCGCUUUCCGGUUGUUCCGCUCCACCGCCGCGUGUCGUCUCUGAGUUUGUUACGUGCUCUGUGAAGUGGGGUCGAGCCGCCCCGAGCCCCGGGCCCCGGCUGUGGCUGUUUGGUGCGCCUUCCCAGAGGGCGCGCGGGGAGGGGGGUCAUUUACAAACUGUGAAAGCACCCGAUCGUUUGAACGCCUGGUGACUUUCAACAAAUGAACGUGUAGGAGCAACUCUCCCUCCAGUCCACACACAGUGUCCAGCGCCCGCGGUUCGCUCCUUCCCGGCGAGGGCGCCCCGGCAGCCCGGCCCCAGGCGUGCGUCCUGCGUUGGCCUGGCCGAAAGGUCCCACGUCCCGACCUACUAAGCUUGCUUCCAGGGCGGCGUGGUAAUGCCAGGCAAGGUGGCCUCUCGCAGCCUGCGCGGAAUGAGGGCGCUGGGUGCCGCAAGUGCCUGCCAGUCGGUGGAAACAUCCAUUUCAGUCGCGGAGAGCGCCAGUCUUUGCGCACCCCAAGAGAAUGUCGGAGACAUGUACAAAUACAGGGGCUCCCCUUUCCUGUGCUUUCUGCAGAUUUUGUCCCAUUUCUUAUCUUUUGUUGUUGGGUUGUUUUAAGGGCACUCACGACAGCCACAGGUUGUCUUCGGUUGUUUUUGCAGGUAGUUAUUAAUCUACCUUUUCCCGGGUGUUGAUAGCCUUGCAAAGAUGACAGGAAAGUGCAGGAGGCUAUUUCAUCCUGACCCACAUCUCUCGUAGGAAUUUUGUUCUUCUUUCUCAGGAAUUUUACCUUUAUAAAAGCAACUAGUUUUGAGUAGUAAGUAAAGAAUGAAAAUCAGGCCUAUUUUCUUGCUUUACUUUUAUCUGGAAAAAAAAUCCUCUAUACAUUUUUAAAGGCUUUAUCAAAGUGAAAUUGAAAAAUGUACUAAGGAUAUUUGGUUCAGUCUUCUCUGUCGGCUCUAAUGAUACAGAGUGCCAUGCUAAAUUUUACUUUGGAAGUAGGCUAGGAAAUUAAAAAGGGAAAUAAAUCAAAAGUUCAUAAAUAUGAUUUUUUUAUAAAAAGCUUUGGUUUGGAAAAUACAUGGUGAUCAUGAUUUGUGUUUUCUCCAUUUUAAAACAAUUCUUUGAAUUUGUUCCUAAUUGUUUUUGAUUUUGAUUUUGUGGCUUUUUGGUUUUGUGGUUAUAUACCUAUCUCAUAGAUUACUCAAUGAUGAUCAGAGCAUACUUACUUUCUCAGUUUUUGAAUUUAAAAUACCAGUUAUAGAUCAUACAUAGCUCUCUAAGUCUCCUAAUAAUUCUUUUUAUGACUAUUACUAUUUUUUUACUAUUUUACAUUCAUUAAGACCAUAGUUUCAGUUACAAUUAAUGAAUAUUCCUAAAUGCAAAGGAAAAACAUUGUUUUUGGAGAUGGUGAGGUGUUUUCUUGUUUGUUUGGUUGGUUUGGUUUGGUGGUGCUAGGGGAUUGAACUCGGGGUCUUGUGCAUGUGAGGCAAGCACUCUACCAACUGAGAUUUAUCCCCAGUGCAGAGACAAUGUUUUAAUCAUACAUUCUUUCAUUCUGGUCUGGGGAGGAAGAGGGAUGAACUCUACUCCUUGUUUCAAUCACUGUUCAUGAAAAGGACUCUGCUCUAAAAAAGAAAAUUUGUAAGAGCAGUUUUAAGGCUUUUCUCCCCCUCCCAUCCCACUCCGUUCAACCCAGAGUAUAGCUUCCUUAAUUCAUCCCAGAUGUGCCCUAUGCCAGGCUGGAGAUGUGGCUGUGCCUGUGAAGGAAGUGGCACACGCUUGUUCCUGUGGAAGUUUCAUUCCAGCAGGAAGAGACAGGAACACAAAUGGGUAAAUCCUCAAACCGUCAGGUAAUGUGAUAAACCCCCAAUGAUCUCCUGAUGGGAUUAUUAGAGGGUCUAUGGAUGGUGACAUUUAUGCCGGGACCAGAAUGAGAAGUUUUGGGAAAAUGAUGAUCCCAGAUAGGAUUGAUCUUGACCUUGGCUCUACUUCAACCACAACAGGGCUCCUUCCUGUCCAUCAAAUAUACUGAGCUAGUAUUUUCUCCAGAGCAUGUCACAACAGCUCAAUCCUUGUCUCCAGUGUUUAUCCUAUUGGCAUCAGAUCAAUAUUGGCAUCAGAUUCUCCAUUUUAGUUAGGAGCCAUUUUAUCUAGAGGUUCCAAAGUUUUGAUUUUGAGGCAAUUCUGCUUUACUUCUCAUAAGAACAUGUGCCUGCUAAAAAACCAUCAACCCCACCGCAGCUUAGACUCCUAAGCAGUUUAUGAGAUUCCUCUUGUGGGUUACAAAGCUGCUCUGUGAGUGCCUACAGGUUACUACUCUCCUCAGAGGGACAGCCUUAUUGGUAUGCCUUCUGUUACUGACAAUAAAUCUCUUGUGUGACGUUCUGGUGUGUGGCGUGAUCCUUGGAUUUCAUGUGGACUCUGCAAAUGUCUUUUAAGAUCCAAUAAUGAGGACAAGGGUUUGAGAAAAAGGAAAAAGAAGUUUUAUUGAUUUACUAGCAAAUGAG